CUUGGACAGUGGCUGCUGUCGGACUCUCAGAGACCGGCUCGGCUGAAAUUCAUGAGCGACCACAUUGAAUACAGUGACGGCUUGACUCGGCGUAAUAAUCAUAUCUCGCUGAGGACGUUGCAUAAUUCAAAUAGGCGCCUCUAAUGCGAUUACUUUAAGCUUUAGACCUCAAAUCAGAUAGGGCUACCCGCUGAACUUAA
rnacentral:misc_RNA from 1 species